rnacentral:lncRNA from 1 species
AUGACCAUGUCUCCCCACACUGGGCUGAGCACACUGUCCCAGAAAUUGGGAGGUUGUACGUGUGGAGGGUGUCAUCUUAUUGAUGAAGCCUGAACAUGAAUUACCCUGUCUCAUGUAACAGUGUGUAUGUUGGUAAAGGAAGACAAGUGACCUCAUUCAAAGUCAUCUACAUUCACUUUCACACAUAGAUGUGAUCCUGAGAACAGGACACACACACGCACAAGUGAAAACGUGUAAACAUGUAUAUAAGUACAGAAUUAGACUGGAGAGUACUGCCAUGGUGUUUUCUGUGAUAGUGGCAUAGAUGUUUGUUCCUCUAUGUGGAAGUCAUCUGAGUACAAGUAAAAAGAUUGCUAUAGCCAGGAACUGAAGUCCUCGGGGAAGGCUGGAGGCUGGAGUCCAGGUCCAGGUCCAUCUGUCUGGCUUCAUUCUAAGGCCCUUCUGCCUGAUGAAGUUCACUGGUUCAACAGCAAACCUUCUUAAAGAGAACUCAUUGUUUACCUUUCUCCAAAGCAUCACGGGGCCAUCUCCCCAGCACAGGAGGCAGGAAGGAGAUCCUGUAACAACAGUCUCCCUGGAUGCAGAAGACGAUGAGCAUCAGCAACUCAGGCUUCUGGAAAUGAAGUCCCUUUCCAGGACACAUCAUAGAAGAUCCAGGCCUGCUCCUGUCUGAUGCUCCCCUUGGUCAGUGCUGAGGACAACGGACAGCUGCUUAUAAAUGCUAUGCCUUCUUCUUCGUUCCCCUUUGUGCACCGGGAGCUUUAAUAUUCUAGAAUUCACAUUGGGUGCAGCCUGAGUUGAGUUAUGUGAUCUCAUCAUACAUGUGAAAAUCAGUCUGCUGCAGUUUAAACACUAGACGAGAUAGACCAAACAGAUUGUGCUUUGCCAGCGUGUUUCAUUAUUUGGCCAGGAAUUUUGUAAAGGACUCAUUGCUGUAAUCUACUGAUAUGCAAUUCUAUUUAAACCAGGUUGGUAGACUCAGGAAGAACAUUAAUAAGUUGACUGAUAUGUUCCCUUAUACAGUUCAAGGGCAUUUGAUGAUCCCAAUUUCUGCAACACAGAACAGACUGCUCAUCUCUCCCAAGUCCUGUCCUAUAAAACGCUGUAGAGCACACCAGCCUGAGUUUUAACCUUACCUACCCAAGGGAUGGCAAUUCCUUACACAAGGGUUUAAAACAUCACUCUUUUCUGUUGGUAAGACACAAGGAAUUGCUAUGGUGUUGAAACUUACAACGCUCAACAUAAGUAGACAGCACCUGACAUCUACUGAACAGCCUUGACAACUCUGUUGAAGGAGAGGUAGGGAGAGCACACAUUCACUUAUAGUCAAAGAGAAACUUUGUAUUAUUUUGUUAGAUAAGCCCAGAGCAAUUGAAUGAAAAAAAACAAAGACUUUGCUCUAACAGUAAAGAUAAU